rnacentral:rRNA from 1 species
UGUUAGCGGCGGACGGGUGAGUAACACGUGGAUAACCUACCUAUAAGACUGGGAUAACUUCGGGAAACCGGAGCUAAUACCGGAUAAUAUUUUGAACCGCAUGGUUCAAAAGUGAAAGACGGUCUUGCUGUCACUUAUAGAUGGAUCCGCGCUGCAUUAGCUAGUUGGUAAGGUAACGGCUUACCAAGGCAACGAUGCAUAGCCGACCUGAGAGGGUGAUCGGCCACACUGGAACUGAGACACGGUCCAGACUCCUACGGGAGGCAGCAGUAGGGAAUCUUCCGCAAUGGGCGAAAGCCUGACGGAGCAACGCCGCGUGAGUGAUGAAGGUCUUCGGAUCGUAAAACUCUGUUAUUAGGGAAGAACAUAUGUGUAAGUAACUGUGCACAUCUUGACGGUACCUAAUCAGAAAGCCACGGCUAACUACGUGCCAGCAGCCGCGGUAAUACGUAGGUGGCAAGCGUUAUCCGGAAUUAUUGGGCGUAAAGCGCGCGUAGGCGGUUUUUUAAGUCUGAUGUGAAAGCCCACGGCUCAACCGUGGAGGGUCAUUGGAAACUGGAAAACUUGAGUGCAGAAGAGGAAAGUGGAAUUCCAUGUGUAGCGGUGAAAUGCGCAGAGAUAUGGAGGAACACCAGUGGCGAAGGCGACUUUCUGGUCUGUAACUGACGCUGAUGUGCGAAAGCGUGGGGAUCAAACAGGAUUAGAUACCCUGGUAGUCCACGCCGUAAACGAUGAGUGCUAAGUGUUAGGGGGUUUCCGCCCCUUAGUGCUGCAGCUAACGCAUUAAGCACUCCGCCUGGGGAGUACGACCGCAAGGUUGAAACUCAAAGGAAUUGACGGGGACCCGCACAAGCGGUGGAGCAUGUGGUUUAAUUCGAAGCAACGCGAAGAACCUUACCAAAUCUUGACAUCCUUUGACAACUCUAGAGAUAGAGCCUUCCUCUUCGGGGGACAAAGUGACAGGUGGUGCAUGGUUGUCGUCAGCUCGUGUCG